AAAACUUUUCCGGAAACCGGUUCUGUUUAACUACAGAUUAAAAGGGAAUCGUGUGAAAAUCACGAACUGUCGCGCAACUGUAAGUAACCAAAGUCUUUAUAAAAAGCCACUGUGCAGAAGCAUGGGAAGGCAUAAAGAUGUUACAAGUCAGGAGACCUGCCUUUUUCUUUAGACAAAAA
rnacentral:ncRNA from 17 species